rnacentral:lncRNA from 10 species
GGCUCUAGGACCAGUCAGCAGCAGUGCCAUGUGUGGGCACACCAGGCAGCACCUCCUCCUGGCACCAGUAACUCUCACAGGUGAGGAAAGCUUUCAAGGCAACAGGAGGCUGAGCCAAUGGAUGGAGGUUUUCCAGUAGCACUGGGAGCACUACAGGUGGCAUAGCUGCCCUUUGACCAAAAACCUGGACAGCAAAAGUCAUUCCUCUUCAGCAGCAGGCAACUGCGGAGAUGUAAAAUACUUCAGAGACAAAGACUUCAUCUUCUCAUCAGAGUGUGAUAUUUAAGAAUGUGGGCUCUGCCAACAGACUACCUGAUUUGAAUCCUGGCUUCACCAUUUUUUAGCUGUGUGCCCCUGGGCAAGGUAAGAUUCGACUGGAUGCUCUGGUUUUGUACAUCAAAGAAAAAAUGGUUACAAAGUGAUGACUUAUUACACAGAUUUGGAUGAAGCUCAGGGACAUUGGGAAGAGAAGACUUUGUUCGGUUGUAGAAGAUUCUGUUACAUCCUUCCUCAAAGACAAUGAUUACCACUUACUCGUGGUGCAUUUGCAUACCUUCAAAAAUCCAAGAAAGGAAACGGAGUCCUCUCCACUGAAGAUCUACUCUAAGGGAUCUGCUGCCUCCAUUCAGACACAACUAUCUGGAAGCUUCUCAAGACUGAAAAAAGUUACAUCUCACUAGCUACACGACAAUAUGUAAAGUAUUUGGCAAUGUGCCUUGUUAAGCAUUAAAGAAAUGGCAGUUAUUAUUAAGCUGUCACUAUUUUGAAGUUUUGCAUUUUUUGACAUUGAAAAUAUAAGAUGAAACAAAUAGUAAAAUAAGGGAAGAGGAGGUUCAUCAAUGUAUAUUUUGCAAAUACUUAGGGUUUUUUUUUAGCUGUUUCUUUUUAAAAAUUCUGGAU